rnacentral:rRNA from 1 species
AUUGAACGCUGGCGGAAUGCUUUACACAUGCAAGUCGAACGGCAGCACGGGGGCAACCCUGGUGGCGAGUGGCGAACGGGUGAGUAACACAUCGGAACGUGCCCAGUCGUGGGGGAUAACGUAGCGAAAGCUACGCUAAUACCGCAUACGAACUCUGGUUGAAAGCGGGGGACUCGCAAGGGCCUCGCGCGAUUGGAGCGGCCGAUGGCAGAUUAGGUAGUUGGUGGGGUAAAGGCCUACCAAGCCGACGAUCUGUAGCUGGUCUGAGAGGACGACCAGCCACACUGGGACUGAGACACGGCCCAGACUCCUACGGGAGGCAGCAGUGGGGAAUUUUGGACAAUGGGCGCAAGCCUGAUCCAGCCAUUCCGCGUGCAGGAUGAAGGCCCUCGGGUUGUAAACUGCUUUUGUACGGAACGAAAAGGCCUUGGUUAAUACCUGGGGCUCAUGACGGUACCGUAAGAAUAAGCACCGGCUAACUACGUG